CCCGGCGAGGGGCGUUGCGACGGCGGGAUCUCCCGCUGCCAGGCUCGCCGGGGACCCAUCCUUGUUGCAACGGCGCCCGCCAACC
rnacentral:ncRNA from 2 species